GAGACAGAUACUCUAGAGACCUCAGAAAAAAAGUAAUGAAAUCUAGAAAACAAGCUCAUGGGGCUUCAUUCCUUGUUUCAAUGAAAACCUUGCGCCAAGGUAAGUCUUCAACUCUGGAACUGCUUCAAUGGCUUUGAUCAAAGCUGCAUCCACAGCUUUCUGGUCAUCUUUCUUCACCUGUGGGAUCUCCUUCUUCUCCUGUGAAAUAUAAAAGAGAGAUGUUAUGUCAAGCAUAUGUUUUGGUUUGGAAAAUAACAAGUGAUAUAAAGAUAUUUUCAAUGUCUAUUCUUCCGGAACAAACUGUGAUAACCAAAUUUAAAGGAGAGAAACACAAGAUGAAUUGCGUCCUUUCCAUGUUUUGCGAUAUAAGGUUAUACCUCUUUCUCAGCCUCAAAGAACUCUCCUUCUGUCUUCUUCUUUUUCUUCUCAGCAACCUUGCCAAAGUACUUAUCAUCGAAUUUAUCGAGGGUGACUCCAGAAAUGUCAACCUUUGUGGAAGUGCCAAUCACAUAGGCCUGGUUAACACGUCUCAAAGGAACACCAUUGAUCUUGAAUGGUCCUAAAGAAUUGUUAAAAAAAGGAUGAACAAUUCAGAUGGUAAAAAUCAGUGAAUGAGCUUCGCUUCAAAUGAUUUAUAGGAGACAAGUUCAUGAGAACAGAUAGAGAAUAACUCACCAGUCACAAGAAGCAAACCAGAGGCAAGCUGCUUAAGGAAGACAACUCUCUUUCCCUUGAACCUACCAGCAAGGAUAAUCAACACUGUACCUGGAGUAAUGCUAGCUCUGCAAUACAGAUAUAAGAAGAUCGGAUCAUGUUGGAAACAUAUAUAAGAUCUAUUGAAGACGUUACAGAGCAUAGACAUUAAAUUUGGUAUACAAAUGAAAAUCAAAUUCGCUUUUUUUCUUUUUACUAUCAACCUGAGACAAGCUUAAUCAUACUAAUAACAGUAAUGUAUAAGAAAACUAGAUGUAUUCACAGAAAUUAUGAACCUUUUGAAAUUCAAGUUUAACUCCACUAACAAUCUUCACAAACCAAUGCAUUUCAACUAUUCUUCAAAUAUCCUAGAGACAAAUGAUUUACACAAUGCAAAAUUUGGACACUUUUCCAGCAGAUAUUCAAAUCUUAUACAAACCCACUUAGCAAACGAGCCAAAGAAAUCAACCAAACACAUGGAAGAUAAUUGCAUCGAUACCAGUGUCAGACUAAGUACCUGAGCUUGGUUGGUUUUGCCGUGCGCCUGUUGGGGAGAGGUUUCUUAACAUCUUCAGCUGGAUAGAACUUCGGUGGCUUCUCCACCGGAGCAUCAACCUUAGAUUUAGCGUCGUGACGUGGGAAAACGCCUCCAUUUUUGGCCUUGAUAGCCCACAAACCUCUCUUAUGGUACAUCUGGGAUCUCGAGUAUUUACCAACACCCCUGAUCAGAUCAGGGUUUCUGUUGACCUUCGGGGUCCUCUGUUUCGCCGGCAUGGUUCUCUCUGUCGUAAUGAAUCAAGGAAAAAUUUUCCGGCUGAGAGUGGAUAGAGGAGAGAGUUGAGGCUGAGGAUAGGUGAAUUUGAAGACACUGAAACCCUAAUUAAAUUUUAGGGCUUUCUUGGGCUCAUGGGCUUUACAAUUAUAUCGGCCUUUUAAUGUGGACCGUAACAUGCAUAAUAGGAUUUGUUUUUUCUUACAACUUUGUAGUAUUAAAUCUUUUCACCUAAAACUAUUUUGACAGGAUGAUAAAAAAAUCAGAGUUAGAGAGUAGUUUAUCUAAAAACUCAGGCUAAUAAUCCCCACACAAUUUGACCAACGCCAAAAUCAGAGCAAGACGAUUCCUUCACCUGUAAGAGUGCAAUGGAUCACAUAUAUCAUUUAUAAUUAGUUUGAGACGCUUUUGAUGAAGCUGAUGAGGAUUUCUCCGCUUUAUUCACCUUUACAUGUCCUUCUUCAACAAACAUUGGUCGGCUUAAAAGCUCUUCAAAAGAUCAAUGUGCACAUGCCUAUGUAUAUAUAUACUAAUGACCCCGUUACUCAAUCAACAAAUAUUGAAUCUUGAUCACCGAAAACCAAAAUUUCAUUAGAUUCAAUGGCUAUGGCUAGUAGUAGUAGCAGCUCGUCAUUGUUUCCUAUCCAACAACAACCUCAACAACAAUUAGGAGGCAAUGAGAUCACACCUAUGGCUACCAAUGCCAAUCUAAUCGCAGCACCAAACGCUCCAAACCAUUACUCUUCCAGCUCCAUUGGACCCUUCUUCGCUGUCAUAUCUGUUCUCAUCAUUCUUGCUGUUCUCUCCUGCUUCUUGGGUCGAUUCUGCGCACGGAGCCGCCAGAGAACUGGUCUAGUGGCUGAAGUCAAUCCGUUGGAGAUGAUAAAGAGUGGUGGGCUUUUAGGUUGGCUGAGACGAAAAUGGAGACGGUGUUUGGCCGGAGAUGUUGAGGCCGGAGCUAAAGUUGCUGAUUGUGCUAGCAAAGAAACACCUAAAGAUAAUGAUCAAAUUCGUCUAGAAGCACCUCCAGCUUGAUCUCGGUGCAUGUGACAGAGACUAGUAAUAAGAGUUUCAAUAUUCGAAGUAGAUUGUAAGCUAAACUAUAUCAUUAUUGCAAUGUUAUUUUCAAUUCUCAAUUUCAUCACUUCGUCAUGACUUAAGCAUUACUAGAAUCUUGUGAAAAGUUCUCCUUCAAAAACAGGAUUGAUAAAUUAUCCAUAUAAGACAGAAAUCCAGAUAGCAGCAGCCAAGAUUUUAUGUCUCUGGUCAGUGGACGAGAACAGAACCAACCAGUUGGAGUGUAAAACUUCAGGAGACAGAUACACUAGAAACCUCAGAAAAAAAGUAAUGAAAUCUAGAAAACAAGCUCAUGGGGCUUCAUUCCUUGUUUCAAUGAAAACCUUGCUCCGAGGUAAGUCUUCAACUCUGGAACUGCUUCAAUAGCUUUGAUCAAAGCUGCGUCCACGGCUUUCUGGUCAUCUUUCUUUCCCUGUGGAAUCUCUUUCUUCUCCUGCGGAAGGAAAAAAAGUAUAUGGAGGUCACGCAUAGCUUUUAAUUUGGGUAGUGUAUAAAGGAGAGAACUUUAAUCGUCUAUUACAAAAUGAGAACCAAAUGACUCUUAGAGAAAGACAAGAAGAAUGUUUGGGAUACCUCUUUCUCAGCCUCGAAGAACUCUCCUUCAGUCUUCUUCUUUUUCUUCUCAGCAACCUUGCCGAAGUACUUAUCAUCGAAUUUGUCGAGGGUAACUC
rnacentral:lncRNA from 1 species